rnacentral:rRNA from 1 species
GAUGAACGCUGGCGGCGUGCCUAAUACAUGCAAGUCGAGCGAACGGACGAGAAGCUUGCUUCUCUGAUGUUAGCGGCGGACGGGUGAGUAACACGUGGAUAACCUACCUAUAAGACUGGGAUAACUUCGGGAAACCGGAGCUAAUACCGGAUAAUAUUUUGAACCGCAUGGUUCAAAAGUGAAAGACGGUCUUGCUGUCACUUAUAGAUGGAUCCGCGCUGCAUUAGCUAGUUGGUAAGGUAACGGCUUACCAAGGCAACGAUGCAUAGCCGACCUGAGAGGGUGAUCGGCCACACUGGAACUGGGACACGGUCCAGACUCCUACGGGAGGCAGCAGUAGGGUAUCUUCCGCAAUGGGCGAAAGCCUGACGGAGCAACGCCGCGUGAGUGAUGAAGGUCUUCGGAUCGUAAAACUCUGUUAUUAGGGAAGAACAUAUGUGUAAGUAACUGUGCACAUCUUGACGGUACCUAAUCAGAAAGCCACGGCUAACUACGUG